rnacentral:SRP_RNA from 1 species
CAUCAGUUCCCUCGCGACGAUAAGCUGUGAACCCGGUCAGGCCUGGAAGGGAGCAGCCGUAGCAGUGGAUUCGGGCGCCGGGGUGUAGCGGGUGCGG